UACGUAGGGCCCAAGCGUUGUUCGGAUUUACUGGGCGUAAAGGGCGCGUAGGCGGCUUAACAAGUCACUUGUGAAAUCUCCGGGCUUAACUCGGAACGGCCAAGUGAAACUGUCAAGCUAGAGUGCAGAAGGGGCAAUCGGAAUUCUUGGUGUAGCGGUGAAAUGCGUAGAUAUCAAGAGGAACACCUGAGGUGAAGACGGGUUGCUGGGCUGACACUGACGCUGAGGCGCGAAAGCCAGGGGAGCAAACGGG
rnacentral:rRNA from 1 species